UGCAAGUCGAGCGGACAGAUGGGAGCUUGCUCCCUGAUGUUAGCGGCGGACGGGUGAGUAACACGUGGGUAACCUGCCUGUAAGACUGGGAUAACUCCGGGAAACCGGGGCUAAUACCGGAUGGUUGUUUGAACCGCAUGGUUCAAACAUAAAAGGUGGCUUCGGCUACCACUUACAGAUGGACCCGCGGCGCAUUAGCUAGUUGGUGAGGUAACGGCUCACCAAGGCAACGAUGCGUAGCCGACCUGAGAGGGUGAUCGGCCACACUGGGACUGAGACACGGCCCAGACUCCUACGGGAGGCAGCAGUAGGGAAUCUUCCGCAAUGGACGAAAGUCUGACGGAGCAACGCCGCGUGAGUGAUGAAGGUUUUCGGAUCGUAAAGCUCUGUUGUUAGGGAAGAACAAGUACCGUUCGAAUAGGGCGGUACCUUGACGGUACCUAACCAGAAAGCCACGGCUAACUACGUGCCAGCAGCCGCGGUAAUACGUAGGUGGCAAGCGUUGUCCGGAAUUAUUGGGCGUAAAGGGCUCGCAGGCGGUUUCUUAAGUCUGAUGUGAAAGCCCCCGGCUCAACCGGGGAGGGUCAUUGGAAACUGGGGAACUUGAGUGCAGAAGAGGAGAGUGGAAUUCCACGUGUAGCGGUGAAAUGCGUAGAGAUGUGGAGGAACACCAGUGGCAAGGCGACUCUCUGGUCUGUAACUGACGCUGAGAGCGAAAGCGUGGGGAGCGAACAGGAAUACAUACCCUGGUGGUCCACCCCGUAACGAUGAGUGCUAGAGUUUAAGGGGGAUUUC
rnacentral:rRNA from 1 species